CGGGAGCUUCCGGGAGGGCGGCUCGCAGGCACCAUGACUCCUGUGAGGAUGCAGCACUCCCUGGCAGGUCAGACCUAUGCCGUGCCCUUCAUCCAGCCAGCAGAUGGCGGAUGCCCUGCAGUACCUGCAGAAGGUCUCUGGAGACAUCUUCAGCAGAGGUAGAGCAGAGCCGGAGCCAGGUGCAGGCCAUUGGAGAGAAGGUCUCCUUGGCCCAGGCCAAGAUUGAGAAGAUCAAGGGCAGCAAGAAGGCCAUCAAGGUGUUCUCCAGUGCCAAGUACCCUGCUCCAGGGCGCCUGCAGGAAUAUGGCUCCAUCUUCACGGGGCCCCCGCCACAGGAUCCAGAGCAAGCACCGCCCCCUGGACGAGCGGGCCCUGCAGGAGAAGCUGAAGGACUUUCCUGUGUGCGUGAGCACCAAGCCGGAGCCCGAGGACGAUGCAGAAGAGGGACUUGGGGGUCUUCCCAGCAACAUCAGCUCUGUCAGCUCCUUGCUGCUCUUCAACACCACCGAGAACCUGGCCCGGCCUGGCUUAGUGGGGACCCAGGGCAUCAGACACAGGUACAGCACAUAGGCCAGGAGCCAGGGGGUGACGGGUGGCUCGGCUCGGGAGGCCUGGGACCCCACAGUGCACGCUGUGCCCCUGAUGGUAGAAGAAGUAUGUCUUCCUGGACCCCCUGGCUGGUGCUGUAACAAAGACCCAUGUGAUGCUGGGGGCGAGAAGCUGUUUGAUGCCCCCUUGUCCAUCAGCAAGAGAGAGCAGCUGGAACAGCAGGUCCCAGAGAACUACUUCUAUGUGCCAGACCUGGGCCAGGUGCCUGAGAUUGAUGUUCC
rnacentral:lncRNA from 1 species